CGAGGGCGUGGAGGACGAGCGCACCUGGCGGCUGCUGCACGCGGCCGGCUGCGACGUGGCGCAGGGUUGGUUCCACGCCCGGCCCAUGCC
rnacentral:tRNA from 1 species